GGCCUCAGGCCGGUGCACCCGACCACAUGCAUGGCUGGUGGCAGCGUGCAGGGAUGGGUG
ensembl:miRNA